rnacentral:ncRNA from 12 species
GGGUGUGGCAGCACUAACGCUGCCGCAGGCAAUUUGGAUGGUCGGGCCGCCAUCC